UGGGGAAUAUUGCACAAUGGGCGCAAGCCUGAUGCAGCCAUGCCGCGUGUGUGAAGAAGGCCUUCGGGUUGUAAAGCACUUUCAGCGAGGAGGAAGGUGGUGAGCUUAAUACGCUCAUCAAUUGACGUUACUCGCAGAAGAAGCACCGGCUAACUCCGUGCCAGCAGCCGCGGUAAUACGGAGGGUGCAAGCGUUAAUCGGAAUUACUGGGCGUAAAGCGCACGCAGGCGGUUUGUUAAGUCAGAUGUGAAAUCCCCGGGCUCAACCUGGGAACUGCAUUUGAAACUGGCAAGCUAGAGUCUCGUAGAGGGGGGUAGAAUUCCAGGUGUAGCGGUGAAAUGCGUAGAGAUCUGGAGGAAUACCGGUGGCGAAGGCGGCCCCCUGGACGAAGACUGACGCUCAGGUGCGAAAGCGUGGGAGCAAACAGGAUUAGAUACCCUGGUAGUCCACGCUGUAAACGAUGUCGAUUUUGGAGGUUGUGCCCUUGAGGCGUGGCUUCCGGAGCUAACGCGUUAAAUCGACCGCCUGGGGAGUACGGCCGCAAGGUU
rnacentral:rRNA from 1 species